GUGAUGGGAUGGGGAUCACUUAAGGUGUGGAGCUACAAGCACAGUAUAGGGAUACACCAAAGUGGAGGAUAAUACCUGUGGGGAGGACAUACAUCAAACAUUACUGUCAACUUCCAUACUUUUUUUUCAUUUAUUAUCUUAACCUUUUUUCUUCUUGUGAUGCUUUUGUGGCAUACUCAUAUAUGUCACCUUUUUUUCAUCUUGUGAUGCUUUUGUGGCAUACUCAUAUGUCAUACAAAUUUAUCUUGUUCUUUAUGUAACUAAUAUCAGCUUUAUUUCAGGUAGAUGCCAGCUUUUUAGAGGCAAUUCCUGAAGAACUGCAAAAGGAGCUGAAGCAAGACCUGGAGCAUCUCAAGCAAGUGAGAGAAGCUACUGCUCCAUUGCCAGGAAACCGAGGAUUGCAAAGAUCACCACUUAAGCAGGAAAGUGUGCACAGCAGAGGGCGAGGCCAGCACAGAGGUCGACAAGGGAGAAGGAGCAAGGCUGAUUCCCGCUGGGUGGAGUCUGAAGGCUUGGUCACCCUCACCAGUAUGUUCCUUAGCAGCACUGACAAGAAACAACCAACUCUUCAGGAAGUCAACAGAUCAUGCAGGAAUGCUACAGAAUCUUUC